AGCUAAUAGAUACCCCGGUAGUCCACGCCCUAAACGAUGUCUACUAGUUGUUGGUGGAGUAAAAUCCAUGAGUAAACGCAGCUAAACGCGUGAAGUAGACCGCCUGGGGAGUACGGUCGCAAGAUUAAAACUCAAAGGAAUUGACGGGGGCCCGCACAAGCGGUGGAUUAUGUGGAUUAAAUUCGAUGCAACGCGAAAAACCUUACCUGGCCUUGACAUGCCACUAACGAAGCAGAGAUGCAUUAGGUGCCCGUAAGGGAAAGUGGACACAGGUGCUGCAUGGCUGUCGUCAGCUCGUGUCGUGAGACGUUGGGUUAAGUCCCGCAACGAGCGCAACCCUUGCCAUUAAUUGCCAUCAUUUAGUUGGGCACUUUAAUGGGACUGCCGGUGACAAGCCGGAGGAAGGUGGGGAUGACGUCAAGUCCUCAUGGCCCUUAUGGCCAGGGGCUUCACACGUAAUACAAUGGUCGGUACAGAGAGUUGCCAACCCGCGAGGGGGUAGCUAAUCUCAG
rnacentral:rRNA from 1 species